AGCUGGAGCUGUGCCAACUGAAGAAGAUUUAUCCACUUGUCACUGCCUAAUGCCUCCCUGCUGGAAGUCAGGAGCAGCUGAGCCAUCAGCUUGCUGGGGACCAUACCUCCAUACCUCCAGCAAAGCAAACCAAAGAAAAGAGAAGUGAGACUGAAGGUGCCAACUUCUUCAGCUAACACAACUGCAAGCUGAGGAUGUAUGAACAAGUCUGACCAAUUCAGGAAUGUACAAGCCAGGUGCAGACUAGCUGUGGCGAAGCUAAGCACAUGUGAUCCCAGGGGAACAUGAGCUCACAGACUGUGCCAUGAUCACUUGCUAGUGUCUAGUUGCUUUGUGCAUGGUCAGGGACAUCAUGUCUGACCCCAGUCAAAUGUCCUGAUGCAAGCCUAGGUCACUUAAACUUACCUGGAACACCGGAAUGCUAACUGGAUUUUAAGCCUGAGGACUGUGAAAUCAUCUAAUUUACUUGAAGUAUAAGA